rnacentral:rRNA from 1 species
UACGGGGGGAGCAAGCGUUGUUCGGAUUUACUGGGCGUAAAGGGCGCGUAGGCGGCCACCGCAAGUCGACUGUGAAAUCUCCGGGCUUAACCCGGAAGGUCAGCCGAUACUGCGGGGCUAGAGUGCAGAAGGGGCAACUGGAAUUCUCGGUGUAGCGGUGGAAAUGCGUAGAUAUCGAGAGGAACACCUGCGGCGAAGGCGGGGUUGC